UUCACACAGGGAACAGCGCUAUUUAGGUUAGAGUUUGAUCAUGGCUCAGAAUCAACGCUGGCGGCGUGCCUAACACAUGCAAGUCGAACGAGAAAGUGGAGCAAUCCAUGAGUAAAGUGGCGACCGGGUGAGUAACACGUGACUAACCUACCCUUGAGUGGGGGAUAACCUCGGGAAACCGGGGCUAAUACCGCAUAACAUCUUCGGGAUGAGAAGCUGAAGAUCAAAGGAGCAAUUCGCUUUUGGAGGGGGUCGCGGCUGAUUAGCUAGUUGGCGGGGUAACGGCCCACCAAGGCUUUGAUCGGUAUCCGGCCUGAGAGCGCC
rnacentral:rRNA from 1 species